GGGUGUGCAGCUGAGCACCCCACGGCCCGGCGCUGCACUGUGCUGGGGCUUCAGGUGCUUCUUCAUAGUCAAUUCAGUCAACAUCCCAACUGGGGACAGGUCUCAGUCUUCUCAUUUUGCAGAGAAGGAGACUGAGGUUCGUAGUGGCAAAGUAACUCUCCCCAGGUCACACAGUUAGUUUCAGGGAGAGAAGUCUCACCUUGAACCCUGAUAUCAGCAGGCAGCAGCUGGAGCCAGACUGUAGUGGGCCUAGGGGGUUGAGAAGACUCACAGAAGGGGUGUACACCAACGCUUUGCAUACUCUGGGCACUCAAUAAAUGCAGGCUCCAUGUGGUAACUGUCUCCCAUGUGUACUGGAGUUCUGCAGGGAGAAGUUCGUUGUGCGGAAGAGUCCCACGGCUGCAUGCUGGCUGAGGGCUGCAGCUGCACAUCGCAGAGGCUGAAACACCGGGAGAGGAGAGGAUCGAUCUGCUGUCAUUCAGCCCCAGCAACAGCACCCCGAGGCGUGGCAGCUCCUCCACCACUGUUGCAGACUGCAGUCCCGGGAGAGGCUGCCACCUUGCUGAGGGGUGGGUGGGAGCCGGUCCCUGGGGCCGGGUGGUUCCCCUCCACAACCCUCUUCACAGGCAAAACCCAGGGACAGGUGUUAAGAGCUGUUUGUCAUCCAUCUAAUGAACAUUUGUUGAGUGAA